rnacentral:lncRNA from 1 species
CAAAUAAAAAUAUACUUCACCGAAAAUAUAACGUAACCAAUUUACUAUAGUAAUAUGCAAAAUGUGAUGUUACAUAUGAAAAUAAAUAAAAUACUUUUUCAGCAUACUUUUUUACCACACUUUAGCAUAAUUUUCUCACAAUGUAAAACAAAGUUGUAGUCAUCAAUUAAGAAAUAAUUUUCCAGACCGACUAGACGAGGAUUAGGGAUGCAAACGGAAUAGAGCCGGAAAUAAGAGGGUCACUCACCUCCUGCUCCAUUUCUUGUCAAGUUAGGACGGAUUCCGGGCGGAUUUAUUUUAUUUCUAUUUUUCGUUCCCAUUUAUCUCUCCGUUCAUGAUAGAUUGAGAAGUGUUAAAUAUAAAAAAAAUGUAAAUAGUAUUCUCUAAUAGUUUAAAUUUUUAGAGUACAACGGUUAUUUAACAAGCUUUGAUACUAUGUGAAACAACCGUUGUACUCUAAAAACUUAAGCUUGAUUAUUUCAUUUAUUUCAUAUGAUAUCAGAGCAGUGGAUCCUUAAUUCGAGUCACGCUAGACUCCUAACAUUAUUAAUUUUCUUUCAUUUAAUUCAAAUUCAUAUCAUAGACCUUAUAAAAAGUCUCAAGCCCAGAUAUGAGAAAAAAUAUUAAAUAUUAAAAUAU